UACGUAGGUGUCAAGCGUUGUCCGGAUUUAUUGGGCGUAAAGCGCCCGCAGGCGGCUUGCCAAGUUCGAUGUGAAAUCUCCCGGCUCAACUGGGAGGGUGCAUCGAAAACUGGCAGGCUUGAGGCAGGGAGAGGGAUGUGGAAUUCCUGGUGUAGCGGUGGAAUGCGCAGAUAUCAGGAGGAACACCUAUGGCGAAGGCAGCUCGCUGGAACGUUACUGACGCUGAGACGCGAAAGCGUGGGGAGCAAACAGG
rnacentral:rRNA from 1 species